GUUUCCCUCUCUCACGAAAACGUAAGGCUUUGUAACUAAGAACACUCCUUCAUCAGAAAAAUGCAAAUGACCUAGCCUCCCUCGACGCUCUCCAACUGCCUGUGAUUUCUAUAGCACCGAACAAGAAAAAUGCAAAUGACCUAGCCUCCCUCUCCGACGCUCUUCGACGUUCUCCGACUGCCUGCGAUUUCUAUAGCACCGAACAAGCUGGUGAACGAUCCUAAUUCACGGUACAACAAAUGAGAGUACCUUUGUCUGCUUUGCUGGAGAUGCAACAUAGAAGGGGAGCACAUUCAUGUACAAGGAAGAAACAGGGGAAUGUGACAAUACUGUUAAUUGCCAAACUUUGUGAGAGUGGAAUGUGAAAGUGUUUUGCAUUAUUAGUGCAGCAGGUAUUACUUCAUCAGCAAACCCUAUGCUUUAGUUUUUACUUUUUUGAGUAUGAUAUAUGUGUUGCUUAGAUGUUGUUCUUUUCAGCGUUCUCGAUUUGUUGGUUAGUUAUAUGUAUACGUUGGUUUGUAAGGGUAAUCCUCAAUUUAGAAACCGGUUUUGAGUUAUGCUCAAACUCGCUU